CCUAGUAAGCGCAAGUCAUCAGCUUGCGUUGAUUACGUCCCUGCCCUUUGUACACACCGCCCGUCGCUACUACCGAUUGAAUGGUUCAGUGAGGCUUUCGGACUGGCCCAGGGAGGUCGGCAACGACCACCCAGGGCCGGAAAGUUAUCCAAACUCGAUCAUUUAGAGGAAGUAAAAGUCGUAACAAGGUCUCCGUUGGUGAACCAGCGGAGGGAUCAUU
rnacentral:rRNA from 2 species